rnacentral:misc_RNA from 1 species
UUUCUUUUCUUUCAAGUGAUAGAAUACACCUCUUAACUAAUUGGAGUUACCCAAUCUAGUUGUAUCAAAAGGUUUAUAAUUGUGUACAUGGACUCUUCUGUGUACCUGUCUAACUUGCACUUUUUGAUUGGGACCUGGGACUUGACAUGGGAAGCUUUGUGUUUUCUGAUUCACAAAGCUUGACCUUGCAUAUAUUCUCUCUCUCUCAAGUAUAACUUGCAUAUUUAGUUCGUGAAAAGCACAUGUGUGUAUUGGCUCGAGAAAAAUAUUGGUUUCUUUUGUUGAGGAGUUGUAUUUUUGGACUAAAAUGGUUAAUAUUUUAUUGAAGGAUUAUUAUUAUUAUUUAUUUGGGGGGAGGGGGGUGUUUCUCUUGUUGCAUUAUGAAUAUUAUUUUGCAAUGGCUAAAGUCUGGUGAAUCUCUAAGUUAGCAUACUGGGAUACACAAGUAAUUUCUAUAUCCUUUGAUUACAGGUUAUUUCUUCUUGGUUUGG